UACGUAGGCAGCAAGCGUUGUUCGGAAUUACUGGGCGUAAAGAGUGUGUAGGCGGUGCUCUAAGUUUUGGUGUGAAAUCUCCCGGCUCAACUGGGAGGGUGCGCCGAAAACUGGAAUGCUUGAACAUGGGGAGAGGAAAGCGGAAUUCCUGGUGUAGCGGUGAAAUGCGUAGAUAUCAGGAGGAACACCUGCGGUGUAGACGGCUUUCUGGACCAUUGUUGACGCUGAGACACGAAAGCGUGGGUAGCAAACAGG
rnacentral:rRNA from 1 species